rnacentral:lncRNA from 1 species
GGGUUGUAAAUUUUCCUUAAAGAAUGAAUGCAUUUGGUGGUACUUUUGAGAAUUUUGUAGACUGCAGUUUGAGCAUAGUCAACGCCCUUUCCAAAGUUCUCCUACCCCUCCUCAACCUACCCAACUCAGAUGUCUUUUUACAAACAAAACAAAACCCAUGGAUUCCAAUUUGUACUGUUUGUAUACUAUUGGAUAAAUGGCCAUCCACUUGAACAUGAUCUCUUACACGCAUUCUCGCGACCGGCCAGGAAAGACGCAACAAACCGGAAUCUUCUGCGGCAAAAGCUUU